AUUUACAAGUAAUGAUUGUACUUUUGCCCUUCUAAUGGACUUGCCAUAGAUGAUCACACUUGGAGGUGAUGCAGAACUUGAGCUAGUGGACUGUUUGGAUCCUUUCUCUGAAGGUGUUGUUUUCAGUGUCCGACCACCAAAGAAGAGCUGGAAGAAUAUUGCAAAUUUAUCGGGUGGUGAAAAGACCUUGAGUUCUUUAGCUCUUGUUUUCGCACUUCAUCACUACAAGCCAACCUCCCUUUAUGUAAUGGAUGAAAUUGAUGCUGCACUGGACUUCAAAAAUGUUUCGAUUGUGGGGGGCAUUAUGUGAAGGACCGAACAAAGGAUGCCCAGUUUAUAAUCAUAAGUCUUCGAAACAACGUGUUUGAAUUGGCCGAUUGACUUGUUGGGAUCUACAAAACUGAUAAUUGCACUAAGAGCAUU